CGAUCGUUCCCUCAGGCGGGCGCCGCUGUUCCCUCAGGCGGGCGUCCUACGGGACAGCAGGGAUGGCGGUGGCGGCGGGGGGUUGUUUCCCCUCGCUGGGUUAUUUCGAGGGCCACCGGGUGCGACGCUGUCCCGCGGGGGGUGUAGCGCCCUGCCCGACCCGCCCGCUCUGAGGCGGCGGCGGGAGGGGGAGGCCCCGGGGGAGAGCGGGUCGCCGCAGGCUCCCCCGCGGCGGUGACUCCGGCGCUGGCGGUUUAGUCCCCGCCGGGAGCGGGCGGGAGGGGCUGCAUCUGCGACCUGUGCCAUCCCUUCUCAGGCAUUGGGGGGAAGUCAGGGACGACACUUCCUUUCAGCCCAGUACACCAUUCAAGGCCAUUAAGGAAUCUCCAGUCUCAAGGACCCUGUGAGAGCUGGGAAGGAAUCUUUGGAGCCGGUGCAGACCAAAAUACGGCAACUGGGUUUCUUUGGAAGCAACAUGAGUAUUUCUCAGUGUGGAUCCUGCUGGUGGUGAUGCUGGUAGCAGCAGGCAGCAGCGGUCCACUUGAUUCCUGAUGAUAACCCCAGAGUGCCCAGGGAAGUACCGGUACAGAAUUCUCCGCUUCCCUCCAGCCCCCCAGGCCGAGAAGAAGGGAGUCUUCUGCAUUCACUGAAACAACAGGUCUGAGGAGACCUUUGCUUAUGAUGCCAGGGAAAAAAGAAUAAUCCUACCUUGUCAGGGUGGCCAGAGAUGAUAGUUCUAUCUAUCAGAUAAUUUGAGAGAGAUCAUUUGUAGCAGCCCACCCUGGUUUUGUUCAGUUUUCUCUUCUCGUAGUCCUGAUUAAAAGCUCCUGCGUGUGCGGUAAGGGGUUAAUGCAGUCCUCCACGCAAAUACCUGUAAGACACAAGGCUGCCACGCAGGCUCUGCUCAGGAGGACAGGAACAGAACUAGGAUAUUCUUCCCCCACCACACCACUUUUCAGAUGGCGGUGACAUCCCUGCCAGGAAAGCAUUCCUGGGCCAUCGGUGCCCUGCCCGUACCCGCUGACCUGAGCGAUCCCCUGUCACCGUUCCAGCGAUCGCUUUUGUUCGUUCCUCCAAGCAUUCCUUCUUGCCCACACUACCAAGUUUCACUAGCCCUGGAAAUCAUAUCCUUCCCAAAGCGCUGGACCCUCCCGCACAUUUCAUAGCAUAGCAACGUAACUCCAUUACCAUGGAUCCCAGACACAGGCGUGCAGAAUUUAUCUAACUAAUCGAGCGGCUAAGGGACACCAGUUCCAGCUACAGUCAGCUUGGAGUAUAAAGCAGCUACAGCUAAAAGAUGGUGUACAAGCACUUCCCAGGGAGGCAAAACAGUGAGGUGUAUUUUUCUUUAUUCUUUUUCUUUUUUUUUUUCUGUUUUAAUGGCCAAUGUAACGGGUAUAGUCUUGGUAAACAAAAGGACAGAAUUAUUCAUUCAUCCCUAAAUUGCUUCCCACUGAGGUAUCACACCUGCAUGUGGUAUUUGAGAGCUGGGAGCAUUUUCUUUAAAAUACUGCCACGCUGUAGAAGUUUAUUAUCCAGCUUUUACUCUAAAUGUGAUUAUUAUGCAUUGCCAUCUUUUGCCCAAAAUCAAAAUGCACUCUACAGGAAAGGUGCACUUGGUUGCUCUCUGCAAAGCAGCUGGCACGACUGGUGUCAAAUGGAAUAUAGACCAGUUGGUCUUUCUUUUGCCACUUAGCAGUUAAUGAAAACUUACCAAACCUCAACUAGUAGCUAAUUGGAAAUCUCUACAAAAGCCAUCUAUAAGCACAGAACAGGGUCUUCCAGAAUAAAACAAACCUGAUAAAGCCUCUUUCAUCCAGGGAAGAAACCUGUUCAUCUGUAUUCCCUGAUUUAAGCACCUUUGGCAAGGUGCUUGGGACUGUUUGCUGAGCAUGUUAUUCAAAAGAUACAGUUAAAAUGAAGUGAGAGGGUUUUUUUUUUAACUUUUAUGCACACAUUGAAGCCCUGAUAUAAGGCCUAUUUGUUACAGAAAACUUGAAUGGAUGCCACGGUGGGCAGAUCUGUCUUGCACCAACUUGCAGAAAAAUAGUGUCUUGUUUUAUAAAUAUUUCAAAUGGGAAGGAAGGACACUUAAAACAUGGCUUUGAAAAGCACAGAAGGAUAAUUCUUACCGAGCUGCGAUUAGAGAAGCAUUUCUCUUUAGGAAAAUUUUAGAACUGACUUGAGACCAACAUAUAACGAACCUUGAAUUACAAGCGUAACCCUUUUUUCAUAACAACAGUCUUCACUAAGCAGUGCGAUUUUGGUCAGCGAUGAGUUCUUUUGUUGUGGGAGAUGGCUUUCAAUUUCAUGAUGUUGCAAUCGGGAAGCCUCGAACAUUUUGGGAUCAGUUCUAAUAUUUUCCUGUUGGUAAGCCAUUUUUAAGGCAAUAUACAGUUUAUGGUUAUUUUCCAAACGUGGGUCCAAAAUAAAAAGUCUGAGAAAGCCCAUCCCAUAAUUCAGGCUGACACUAAGUGCACGCUUCUCCAGGUUUGGCAGAGUGUGUUGUGUACGCUGGUAGUGUGAUGAAUGUAACAUUUUCUCCGAGAUUCUCCUGCUCCUUCCCUCUUUUGAGGUAUUUCUAUUUUCUGUUAUUUCUGUUUUCCUAGGACCUUGACACUGUUAUAUGCAUUCAUGUUGGCUGGUUUAUGUGAGCUGUGAAUACACAGCUAACUGUGAUUUAUAUAACUGGGGUCUUGAAGGAAGAUGAAACUUAACAAUGCAAAGGAGACAAAAAAAAUCAGGCUUUUGACUAUUGUAUCCAUUCCAUUUACUUUCAAGGUAUUGUGGGGGGGUGGUGGUGGUUGUAUUUUAUUUUCCUUGACCAAUUCUUAUUUUUCUUCACGUCUUCAAUUUCAGGUCCUCUUGUCUUUUCCUACAGAAAAGGUUACAAUAUGUUUUUCUUGACAUUUCUACUUAGAUAUUCAGUAAGGCUCUCCUCAGCUGGCCGAGGGAAAAAAGCCAAAACUACUCAUUUGCCCUGACAAGUGUUUUCACUCUCUGUGUUCUUGAUGAUUGGUUGUGCUGGGUGCUUGACUUCUGCAGCAGCUAAUAAGUAACUCCUGAUUCCAGAGUAACUCCUGAUUCCAAAGGUUGACAGCUAUCACUUGAGCUCUCGUUUCCGAGCAAUCCAGCAGACCACUGCCACUAGCACCAAACUUUCCUGUAAUUCUGACAUCGUAGUGAAUUCCUCCCCAACUGGCAAUAAGAAGGUCUUACAUGGCUUUUUCUCUGCUUGAAUUCUCUGUUUUCUGGAUUGUGAAAUUAUCCUCUGCAUAAUUCAAGAACCGUUUCACGAUCUAUGUUUAGCAGAAUUUGUUACCCAACAGAUGUCUGGACAGUUAAUGACCUCUGUAAGUACAGCCCUGUGAUUUCUUGCUACUGAUGGUCCAAGAAUUUUUAAUCUCUUCUGCUACAAGUCAGCACUAGGGCAGCAUGUCACCUCUUAUUAAAAAACAGAAGCAUAAAAUGCAUAUAAAUUUUCCCUUCAGAAUUUUUAUGCGUCGUCAGAAGGCAUAAAGAAAAGAUUCUCUUUUGAAUCUUUAUGUUCACAAAUGUGUGCAUACAUAAAUGCACAUAGGUCCAUAUUUUUCUGGCCAAAACCAAAGGACAUGAAUAAACCCCCCUGAAAUUAAUCAAAAUAUAAUUUCAAAGAAAACGUACUUCCAUAAAUACAAGUCAGAACUGACACUGCCAGCCUUCAAGUUGAGGAAAGGGUAGAUGCCUAGAAAAGUCUAUAGUAGGAAAGCCUCUUCUACUGUCACUUUUACGUGUAUGGCAAACGUAGUCUUAGAAGAGGAUUUGGAGGCACUGGAUCCAGAUCAUUACCCCCAGCCAGUGAUGAGUUCACAGUAUGAAAUCAUCCUGCAGCUGCACAACCAUUCCCUCUUUCCUCCUCCCCAUUCAGAUCAGGCUUGAGCCCAUCCCUGCAUAGGAAAGUUGUCCUAGUUUCUCUUCUGUUUUUUUCUCUCUUUUCAGUUAUCGGCACUUGGGAGAGGAAAACUAUUGGGCAGGACUGUAUCAAAGAGGAGGUAAGAGAGUCCCUAACGUCUGGCACUCCUCUCGCAGAGGAGAGAGUCAAGGAAUUGAAUGCCGAUUGAUACAGGUCCGGUCAGAUGUCCCUGUGGAGGAAUUCUGCAAGCCACAUGCUGAAGUCCCUAGAACAUAAAUCUGCACAGUGAAGUGCUUGAGAGGAUGGCUUAUACUUCAUGGUGUGCCACUGUGAAGGAGAGAAAAUGGACUGCCUGCACACAAGUGCUCCUGUAACAGUCAGGCUCCCCGCACCUGCCUGGGACUCCCACCACGUAGCUCCUGAAUGCCAAGAAGUUUGCUAGAUAUCUUGUUAGUACCUGCUCCUACAGUGGAAGGGUCAUUGUGGCCAAACUGCUGGAUUGGAAGGUACUGAAACCACGGAGAAAGAUUAAUCAGCUGGAUCUACACUGGUAAGGUUCAUGGGCCAACAUUCCGGCACUGCUACGCAGAGCUCUUACAAUUGAAUUGUAAGCACGUUACCUGGCAGUUUUGGGAUGCGACUCUUAGCAGCCUCUCAGAUGAUACCUGGACAUGCUCGGAGGACAGCGUGGAGCAGGGACCAUUUCCUUGAAGGCAGUUUUAUAUCAUCACUCUUUGUGAGGGGAAGAAGAAAAUGUAGAUCUGUGAUGCAAGCUGGACACACUGUUUGGCCUCAGACCCCAAAGAACAAUCUCUGGUCUGUUUUAUGAGCUAAUAGAGCUGGACGCAUCCUGGAGCAGGUACCAGAACUUCUUGCUACAGUUUUGGCCUCAGGCUCUCUAGCUUUCGGGAAAGGUUUCUUUUUUAGUUUGGUUUUGUGGGGGUUUGGGGUUAUAUUGGGGUUUUUUUAGUGAGUUUAAGUAUGUGCAUACAUGCAUACCUACCUGUGUGGCUUUUCAGAUUGGAAAACCUACUUCCAAUGCUCAUUCAUUACAAUUUGAGGGGCUUUACAUGUUCUUAUUUACUACCUGUCCCUCUUCCAAUGUCUUCUCACUUGAACACUUUGGGACCACUAACAUGGCCAAUUCUUACAGUGUUUCUUCUUGUGGUUCAGUGAAAAAUAACUAUUGCCCUAGCUCCCUCAUAUUACUGGGAACUGAUCUGACACACCAGACAAGUUCUUUUGACUUCAAGAGCAUCACUUGGCCUCAUAGGGAGCCUUUUGAGCACCUUUAUUUUUUGACACUGAUACCUGAUUUAGAUACUCUGUGCGGAAAUUGUCCUGUGCUCACAUUAAGCAUACAAUACAGAGGCUAUUCUGGGGCCAGUUAGCCUGAACAUCAGGGUCUAAUCAAAACUACUGAGAAUGUCAGACUUUUUUUUUUUUUUUUUUUUUUUUCCCUAGUCAGUCCGAGAUGGGCUGAUUUGGGGGGGUUUCUUUGUUUUCCCAUUUGGAGUUUCCUCAACCACUUUCAGAGGUACAAGAUGUACAUUCACCAGUUCCUCAGUCUUCACAGAGGUAUUUCUACUAUCUUGUCAGAUUUUUUUACACAGGGAGGUCACCAAGUUACAGAUGAGGACAUGACCAAAUAAUUGGUUUUCCCCUCCAAACACGUGUGGCCUCCUGUUUCUAGAGCAUCUACUAUUUUACAAAUAAAGAGUAUUUCUCCCACUUUCAUGAAUUUUCUCACCUGGUGGCUGUUCUGGAAUGGGCUAGUGCUUCCACACCCACUCUUGUCCCAAAGGAUGUCUCCCCAAAGCAACUAAACCUGACUCAGAUAUGGUUCUCUCUUCAAAAUCAAAGGGCACUCUGUAGAUUCUGACUAUAGACAUAUGGGCCUACUGCUGUGCAAGAUGUUUGGAGCAAUCAGACAUUCUGGCUGUGAUCUAUCUAGAAUAAAAAUUAUGCUUAUCAGGAAUGGCCAUGAGGUAAUUGGGGAACCAAAUGCUCCACACCACCAUCUGUGAUUGUGCCCAUCUAAACUUGGCAUCACUGGGACAUAUAUAUGUGCUCACAGGCUGAGGAACCCCUUUCUGUGGUGAUGGCCAGAAAUGCUGACUUACCUGCUAAAGUGAAGGUAACUCAUAAUAUUUGCACAGAAUAAGACAUGAAAAAGUUUGAUUAGACAAUCUGGGAUUCUUUUUUAACUCCUUGAACAGUACCUAUGGUACUGAGUCGUAAGUCCCUGUAUACACUGAAACUUCUGCAAUUUUGCUCUCAAGCUGCUUCUCAGGACUUCUUUGCAGGAAUCAUUUUCCACAGAAAGGAUGAGUUCAGCCACCCUGCUUCAGGAACCACAAGCUUUUAAAGCAAUCUUUUGUCACAGGUUUGAGUUGACAAAAAUUGGCAGAUUUAAUGCAGGUCUACCUAUUUUUUUAAAGACUCAGAUACUUGUUUUGUACGAUAUGAAACUUUUCAUGUAAUUGCAGUAAGGGGUAAUCUACAAAAUGGCUUGACUUCAAGAAAACUGCCCAGCUCCAAAAACUUUCUGUUGAAAAAUGCAUAUUAAAAUGACGCUAGAGCUUUGUUA